rnacentral:lncRNA from 1 species
GCGUGAUAUAGAUUGGCCGCUGGAAUAUGCAUGCAUUUAUUAUUAACGUUUUCAAUCAGCCUUAAUAUUUGUGUCUGUCCAAAUUAAAGUAGUACGUUAUAAAAUCCGACUGAAGGUGUCUUUCUGAUACAGCACUGGGUACAGAAGAUCUUUUUUUAUUUCCUGUCAUGGGCCCCAAAGGGCAUAAACAUUAGAACAUCAAUAAUUUUCAUAAUACAAUACAAACAAUGAUAUAAAAAAAGAUUAAUGAGAACUAUUUAAGUUCUUUAAGAAUAUAUAGAUAAAGAAUCUAUAAUAUGUGGGUUUUUUUUUAAAUACUAAUGCAUUUUAAUGCAAGUGUGGUUGAAAUAGGUAACAAACAAGCAACCAAAAAAGAAAAAUAGAUAUACAUAUAAAAAAGAAGAUGUGGUAUGAUUGCCAAUGAGACAACUGUUCACAAGAGACCAAAAUGACACAGACAUUAACAACUAUAGGUCACCGUACGGCCUUCAACAAUGAGCAAAGCUCAUACCGCAUACAGUAGUCAGCUAUAAAAGGCCCCGAUAUGACAAUGUAAAACAAUUCAUACGAGAAAACUAACGGCCUUAUUUAUAUAAAAAAAAAUGAACGAAAAACAAAUAUGUAAUAAACAAACGACAACCACUGAAUUACAGGCUCCUGACUUGGGACAGGAACAUACAUGAAAAAUGUGGCUGGGGUUAAACAUGUUAGCGGGACCCCAACCCUCUCCUAACCUGGGACAGUGGUAUAACAAUACAACAUAAGAAUAUAUGUAUAGUACACAAUAAGUUCGAGCAAUUGUUCAAUAUAUACAUAUAACGUGUUGUCGUUCUCAUAUGCACAUGAUAUUUGUCACUGGACGUUAAACCCUAAUUCGUCAGUAUCAUCCAAUUGUUUCUUUUCUUCUAUUACUUGAUCAUAUGUUGUUUACAAAUCAUUCUAAAGAAGUAAAUGGAAAGGAUCGAAUGAAGCUACAUUUGGUUAUCUUAAGUUUUAAUUCAUUUCAUUCCGUUUAGUUCCUUUAUACAUAAGUGCAGAGGAGAACUGCAGUUGUCCGCAUGUAAACUUCUAGCAUUUGUCACCUAUUUGAGUACAUCGCAAUCCGUUACUGUUUCAACACCCAGGGGUGUUUCAUGUCUGUAUUCUUAAACAAUUAUUAUUUUUUCUCUCUUUUUUAGCAAUGCACCACUCUCUACUGUCCUUAUCUAUUAUUCUAUAUUCUGCAUCAGCAUCCAGAUUCUCGUGUAUACCAUGAGGGUCCGGAUUGGGGGUGUUGUUUAUUCCUGUAUUCUAUAAAUUGUUAUGUCACUUUUCUCCACAUUUUAUUUAUCUUACUCAUUAUUCUUUCUCUAUUCUUUAUAUUCUAGCAUCCCAAUAUAUUUUACUUACUGAUGUUUAGUUACAUUACGACGUUUAUCUCUGAUUUAUAUGCUUGUUACUAAUGUAGAUGACUUUUGAACAGAAUCCACAAGAUUUGGAUGAAAUUAAUAUUACUUUAAUAUUACACUUUUUGAAACCAUUUUUAUCAAUUUUCAAUUUCUAUUGUCUAAAUUGUGCAUUGAUCAUGUGUUGUUUACGUAUAUUUUAUGUUUCAUUGUUCAUGUGUUGUUUCCCUAUAUUUUAUGUUUCAGUGUUCAUGUGUUGUUUCCGUAUAUUUUAGCCGUUCGUCUUGAGCCUACCCAUGAUCCGACAACACCCCACAUAGUAGCAAUAAAAUUAUUCUUUUAUUGCCAUUCAUAACUCUUAACAGACCAAUUAACAGACCGAGUUUUAUACAUCCGACCCAUUAACAGACCAGGUUUUAAAUAAAA